ACUGUGGAGUGUACAAGAACUUGUGAGUAGCGUAUUGUUUACAAUCGCCAAAGCAUACACAAUGAAGCAGUAA
rfam:[Eubacterium rectale] ATCC 33656 chromosome, complete genome.